GACGAACCGUGCGAACGUUGUUCGGAAUCACUGGGUUUAAAGGGUGCGUAGGCGGUCGGAUAAGUCUGACGUGAAAUCUCCGGGCCUAACCCGGAAACUGCGUUGGAAACUAUCUGGCUAGAGGAAUGGAGGGGAGACUGGAAUACUUGGUGUAGCAGUGAAAUGCGUAGAUAUCAGGAAGAACACCCGUGGCGAAGGCGGCUCUCUGGAACGCAACUGACGCUGAGACGCGAAAGCGUGGGGAGCAAACAGG
rnacentral:rRNA from 1 species